rnacentral:tRNA from 1 species
GGGCGCGUAGCUCAGCGGGAGAGCGCUCGCUUCACACGCGAGAAGUCGCUGGUUCAAUCCCAGCCGUGCCCACCA